AGAGAGAGACAUGCGCGCAUAUCAAUAAGCGGAGGAAAAGAAACUAACAAGGAUUCCCCUAGUAACGGCGAGUGAAGCGGGAAGAGCUCAAAUUUGAAAUCUUAAAGGGUUUCCCUUUACGAAUUGUAGUUUAAAGAAGUGUUUUCUGUUGAGGUUUUGGUAAAAGUUCUUUGGAAUAGGACAUCAUAGAGGGUGAGAAUCCCGUAUUUGACCUUUACUUUCAACUUUGUGAUACACUUUCAAAGAGUCGGAUUGUUUGGGAAUGCAGUCCAAAAUGGGUGGUAAAUUUCAUCUAAAGCUAAAUAUUGGCGAGAGACCGAUAGCGAACAAGUACCGUGAGGGAAAGAUGAAAAGAACUUUGAAAAGAGAGUUAAACAGUACGUGAAAUUGUCAAAAGGGAAGCGUUUGACACCAGUGUUGUUUUUCUGAAAAUCAAUUAAAGAACUGUUUAUGCUAAGUUGUUUAGACUUUAUCAGCUGACUGUUUAGUUUUGAGCUUUUCUUUAAUGCACUUUUCAGUUAACAAGUCAACAUCAAUUUCUUUUGCUGUAAAAAGCUCGAGGAAGGUGGCUUGAGAUUCGUCUUAAGUGUUUAUAGCCUCUUGCCUAUGCAGUCGGAGAGAUUGAGGUCUGCAGCGUAGAUCCUUCGGGGCUAAAUGCAUUUGUGCUAAGUUAUAGCAUUUUAUAGACAACUUGUUGACUAUGAUUUGUCUUGUAGCUUACUCGCUUAUGUUAUUUUACCUACGCUUAGGAUGUUGAGCGCAUGUCUCUCUCU
rnacentral:rRNA from 1 species